rnacentral:rRNA from 1 species
GCUGGCGGCGCGCCUAACACAUGCAAGUCGAACGGAGCUGAUUGGAAUGAAUCUUCGGAGGAAUGAAGAUUAGCUUAGUGGCGAACGGGUGAGUAACGCGUGAGUAACCUGCCUUAAAGAGGGGGACAACAGUUGGAAACGACUGCUAAUACCGCAUAAGCCCACAGUACCGCAUGGUACAGUGAGAAAAGAUUUUAUCGCUUUAAGAUGGACUCGCGUCUGAUUAGCUAGUUGGUGAGGUAACGGCUCACCAAGUCGACGAUCCAUAGCCGGACUGAGAGGUUGAACGGCCACAUUGGAACUGAGAAACGGUCCAGACUCCUACGGGAGGCAGCAGUGGGGAAUAUUGGGCAAUGGGGGAAACCCUGACCCAGCGACGCCGCGUGCGGGAAGAAGGUCUUCGGAUUGUAAACCGCUUUUAUUAGGGAAGAAGCAUGACGGUACCUAAUGAAUAAGCCACGGCUAACUACGUG